AACUUUCAACAAUGGAUCUCUUGGUUCUCGCAUCGAUGAAGAACGCAGCGAAAUGCGAUACGUAAUGUGAAUUGCAGAAUUCCGUGAAUCAUCGAAUC
rnacentral:rRNA from 1 species